rnacentral:misc_RNA from 1 species
GGAUAAUUGAAAAUCAACCAAAAUGGCUGUACCGCUCGUCUCUUCUAAAAUUAACACUAUUAGCGUGACCAGGAGAGUGACAGUAAAAUUCUACGACUUCUCAAUUUAUAAUAGCAUUAGGAGAACACUUUCAUGUAGAAAAGAUCUGGCCCUGAAGGUACCAAUGCUUUAGACAUGCAUGAACCUCUCGUAUCAAGUAACAAGACACAUGCAAAACCAGAAGAAUUUCAAUACACCAGCUCUCUU